UAUCUAUAGCUCUAUAUAUCUAUAGCUCUAUAUAUCUAUAUAUCUAUAUAUAGCGCUAUAUAUUUAUAGCUCUAUAUAUCUACAGUAUAUCUAUAGCACUAUAUAUCUAUAUCUCUAUACAUCUAUAGCUAUAGAUAUAUAUAUCUAUAGCUCUAUCUCUGUCUCUCUCUCUCUAUAUAUAUAUAUAUAUAUAUAUAGUUAUAUAGCUCUAUCUAUAUAUCUGUCUCUCUCUCUCUCUAUAUAUAUAUAUAUAUAGUUAUAUAGCUCUAUCUAUAUAUCUGUCUCUCUCUCUCUAUAUAUAUAUAUAGUUAUAUAGCUCUAUCUAUAUAUCUGUAUGUAUUGUUUUUCUGUACCUUACCAUAUUGUACAUAUGCAGAUGAUGUGAACAGUGUCUUUAUUGUUUGAUUUAUGGAUGUCUUUACGUUCUACCUCUCCAGUCCCCCUUCUGUCUGUCAAUCAAUAUUGUUGUUGAUUUUAUGUUUAUUAUUGUUAUUAUUCUAUUGUUGUGGAAACAUUCCAGUGAAGGAAUUCCUGUUUAUUUGAAUGUAAAAAUAAUAUAAUUUGAAUGCAGGAAGCAGAAAGGGUUGAACUUUAUACUCUUAACUGUAUACAAGGGGGAACGAUAAUGUUUUUCACUCUGUGAUCUCAUCAUUUAUGACCAAAUACAUGUUUACUACUAUGCCACCAGGAAUUCGUUUCUGAAGAAAAUAGAAUAAACAAUGUGAUUAUCAUUAUAAAUUAAUGUGAUUAUCAUUAUAAAUUAAUGUGAUUAUCAUUAUAAAUUAAUGUGAAAUCAAACAUAUUUUUUGAUUUUUUAAAAUUAUUUUUUUUAGCUUACAGCAGUGGAGAAAUGUAGCCAACAAAAUUAUACUUGAAUCUAUUUAGUAAAUCUAAUUCUUAAAUGCAUUACUAUACUAGUCGGGAAAAAAUACUUGAUUUUAGAAUUUCGUUGUUAUUAGAAUGUUUUUUCCCCCAAGGUGGCAGUGCCCAAGGUGUCAGUGCCCAAGGUGUCAGUGCCCAAGGUGUCAGUGCCCAAGGUGGCAGUACCCAAGGUGGCAGUACCCAAGGUGUCAGUGCCCAAGGUGGCAGUACCCAAGGUGGCAGUACCCAAGGUGGCAGUGCCCAAGGUGGCAGUACCCAAGGUGGCAGUGCCCAAGGUGGCAGUGCCCAAGGUGGCAGUACCCAAGGUGGCAGUACCCAAGGUGGCAGUGCCCAAGGUGUCAGUGCCCAAGGUGUCAGUGCCCAAGGUGUCAGUGCCCAAGGUGUCAGUGCCCAAGGUGUCAGUGCCCAAGGUGUCAGUAGUAACAACUAUCUCUGUCUUACAGUGUGAGAGCCGACCUGGUUCGGUCCUAUUCUGUAGAGGUGAGGUAGCUAGGGAAGUCCUCCUAUAGGAGACCUAGGACCACCCUGCCAUGACCAGAGAGACAGAGUCUGCAUCCCAAAAUGGCACCCUAUUUCCUAUAUAGUGCACUCGUCCCCAUAGGCCCUAGUCAAAAGUAGUGCACUGUAAAUGGAAUAGUGUGCCAUUUGGGAUGGAGCUUAUUGAUCUCAAAAUGUUAUUUUAUUCAUGUUGUUUUUUUCCUCAAAACAUUCCAAUCGCUUAACUCGUCUCGAAUGAUGUCAUCAUUGUGAUUGCAAAUGGCUGUUGUGAUUGUUGACAAUUGUUAUUGUUUUCUCGAUUUAAAUUUUUAUAAUGUUUUACCCUUUUUCUCAUGAUUUCUUGUUACGGUUUAAAUCUUCAAACAUGUUGAAUUAAUGAUGUCAUUUCCGUUUCGUUUGAUCAGUUGUGAAUUUGCACUUACCACUUCGAUCUGCUUGUGAGUGUACAGUAGAGUAUGUGGUGUGUGUGUGUCUGACUGUGUCGUAAUGCUGUAGUUUUCAGUCGGUUAGUGUGACCUCCGUAUGGCAACAGGUAGCCUAGUGGUUAAGAGUGUUUGGGCCAGUGACUGUGUCGUAAUGCUGUAGUUUUCAGUCGGUUAGUGUGACCUCCGUAUGGCAACAGGUAGCCUAGUGGUUAAGAGUGUUUGGGCCAGUAACCAAAAGGUUAUUGGUUCGAAUCCCUGAGCCGACUAGGGGAAAAACAUAUGUUGACGUUUCUUUGAGCGAAGCACUUAACCCUAACUGCUCUGGAUAAGAGCGUCUGCGAAAUGACUAACAUGUAUAUUUCUGUCUGAUUGGAUAAGAUGCUAAAUGACUAAUGUGUAUAUUUCUGUCUGAUUGGAACACCAAAAUAAGACAUUUUAGAGUAUAUAUAUAUAUAUAUAUAUACACUCUUCUUUUUUUUAAAGCACAAAGGAAUAUUAGGCACAAGAUCACAUCAAAACUCACUAUGAUACUAGUCAUACAAAGAUAAUAUCCUAUCACUGAAACACUAGACAACACAAGGCAAUGUGGGGGAGAGAGAGGAGAGAAACAGAGAGAGAGGUGAGAAACAGAGAGAGAAGGGAAAAGAUAAUAUCCUCUCACUGAAACACUAGACAACACAAGGCAAUGAGCUCUUGGUGUUGGAACAGUGUCAUCUUGGAAUGAGAAAUGCAUCAUUUUGAACACGGGGUAUCACACCAUGUAUUUACCAGUAGUAACUCUCUAAGACAGAGUCAGCUCUACAGAGACACCCGUAAGGCCUGGGGGCUGCUAUCACACCAUGUGUACCAGUAGUAACUCUCUAAGACAGAGUCAGCUCUACAGAGACACCCGUAAGGCCUGGGGGCUGCUAUCACACCAUGUGUACCAGUAGUAACUCUCUAAGACAGAGUCAGCUCUACAGAGACACCCGUAAGGCCUGGGGGCUGCUAUCACACCAUGUGUACCAGUAGUAACUCUCUAAGACAGAGUCAGCUCUACAGAGACACCCGUAAGGCCUGGGGGCUGUGAGACCUCUCUCUGUUCUCUGUAUUCCUCCAAGAGGAAAUGCUGUUGUGCUUUAAAGGACUUUGAGGGCUCCAUCCAAUCCGUACCGCGGUAGUUCAGCGCUAUGCUGGGAUUGAAAUGUGAUGGUUUACCAUGAAUGCAUUAUUUCACGAAUUAGGGAACAUUGCCUUUUUAAAUUUCAAUUGCGCUAUAGUGCUGAAUUUACGCAAUACAGUUACAAUGCAUCAUCCCUAAAUAUAACAUGACAAUGGACUGACAGAGGGGGUGUCCCUACACAACGCCCCACACCCCCACUAAUGUCAGUCCCUACACAACGCCCCACACCCCCUAUAAUGUCAGUCCCUCUAAUGUCAGUCCCUACACCACACCCCCUCUGUCAGUCCCCACACCCCCUCUGUCAGUCCCUACACAACGCCCCACACCCCCACUAAUGUCAGUCCCUACACAACGCCCCACACCCCCUAUAAUGUCAGUCCCUCUAAUGUCAGUCCCUACACCACACCCCCUCUGUCAGUCCCCACACCCCCUCUGUCAGUCCCUACACAACGCCCCACACCCCCACUAAUGUCAGUCCCUACACAACGCCCCACACCCCCUCUAAUGUCAGUCCCUCUAAUGUCAGUCCUUACACCACACCCCCUCUGUCAGUCCCCACACCCCUCUGUCAGUCCCUACACCCCCUCUGUCAGUCCCUACACCCCCUCUGUCAGUCCCUACACCCCCUCUGUCAGUCCCCACACCCCCUCUGUCAGUCCCUAAACCCCCUCUGUCAGUCCCUACACCCCCUGUCAGUCCCUACACCCCCUCUGUCAGUCCCUACACCCCUCUGUCAGUCCCUACACCCCUGUCAGUCCCUACACCACACCCCCUCUGUCAGUCCCUACACCCCCUCUGUCAGUCCCUACACCCCCUCUGUCAGUCCCCACACCCCCUCUGUCAGUCCCUACACCCCAUAAGAAGAUGAAGAAAAUGAAAAACACAAAUAAGAUGAUAUUGUAUUCCCUGUUAUUCACUGUUUGCUGUUUAAUAAAAUGAGAUGUCCUAU
ensembl:lncRNA